rnacentral:lncRNA from 1 species
AGCCUGAGAAACCAUUUCAGGAUUCCACGAGGAGCAUGAGGAAGGGGCCAGCGACUGCUAGGCUGUGUGAGGUUUGAACUGCCAGGUCCAACUGACAUGUGGAUUUUCAUUGGCCUCUGCCACCUCUGAGACAGCAAGACCAACCCCCUCCUCUUCCUCCUUCUCCUCCUCAGCCCACUCAAUGUGAAGAUGAAGAGGAUGAAGACCUUUAUGAUGGUCCACUUUCAUUUAGUGAAUAGUAAAUAUAUUUUCUCUUCCUUAUGAUUUUUGAAUAACAUCUUUUCUCUAGCUCACUUUAUUGUGAUAAUACACUAUAUAAUCUAUAUGACAUACAGAAUGUUCAUUGACUGUUUAUGUUACAGGUAAGUCUCCUUGGUAACAGUCAGCUAUGAGUAGUUACAUUCUGGAGGACUCAAAAGUUAUACUCAGAUUUUCGACCACGUGGGAGGUUGGCGUCCCUACCCCCUACAUUGUUCAAGGGCCAAGUGUACAAUUAACUGCACACAUGUAAGGUAUGCAAUUUGAUGAGUUCUGACAUUUGUAUACACCAGUGAAACCAUCACCACAAUCAAGAUAACGAACACAAACCACAAUUACUCAUGGCCAUUACUACCAGAUCACUCUUGCAGGAAUACAGAGGAAAGACUGAUUAAAGCCAAGUCACAGUGAGUUUCUAAUUCAUAUCCACCAGGAUGGCUGUAAUAAUAAAAAAAAAAGCCAGAUAAUAACCAGUGUUGGUGAGGAUGUGGAGAAAUUAGAACCCUCGUACACUGCUGAUGGGAAUGUAAAAUGGUGCAGCUGAUUUGGAAAACAGUCUAGCAGCUCCUCCGAAAGUUAAAGGU